UGGGGAAUAUUGGACAAUGGGCGCAAGCCUGAUCCAGCCAUGCCGCGUGAGUGAUGAAGGCCCUAGGGUUGUAAAGCUCUUUCACCGGUGAAGAUAAUGACGGUAACCGGAGAAGAAGCCCCGGCUAACUUCGUGCCAGCAGCCGCGGUAAUACGAAGGGGGCUAGCGUUGUUAGGAUUUACUGGGCGUAAAGCGCACGUAGGCGGACUUUUAAGUCAGGGGUGAAAUCCCGGGGCUCAACCCCGGAACUGCCUUUGAUACUGGAAGUCUUGAGUAUGGUAGAGGUGAGUGGAAUUCCGAGUGUAGAGGUGAAAUUCGUAGAUAUUCGGAGGAACACCAGUGGCGAAGGCGGCUCACUGGACCAUUACUGACGCUGAGGUGCGAAAGCGUGGCGAGCAAACAGG
rnacentral:rRNA from 1 species